rnacentral:rRNA from 1 species
AGCAAACGCUGGCGGCGUGCCUAAUACAUGCAAGUCGAACGGGGAAAGUAGCAAUAUGAGUACUAGUGGCGCACGGGUGAGGAGCGCGUGGGUAAUCUGCCUUCGAGCGGGGGAUAACUAGUCGAAAGAUUAGCUAAUACCGCAUAAGACCACAAGAUCUGCGGAUCUAGGGGUCAAAGCAGCAAUGCACUUGAAGAUGAGCCCGCGUAAGAUUAGCUAGUUGGUGAGGUAACGGCUCACCAAGGCGAUGAUCUUUAGCUGGUCUGAGAGGAUGAUCAGCCACACUGGAACUGAGACACGGUCCAGACUCCUACGGGAGGCAGCAGUAGGGAAUAUUGCGCAAUGGGGGCAACCCUGACGCAGCGACGCCGCGUGAGUGAUGAAGGCCUUCGGGUCGUAAAGCUCUGUUAUAUGGGAAUAAGUUCUGAAUGUACCAUGUGAGAAAGGAUCGGCUAACUUCGUGCCAGCCGCCGCGGUAA